GCAACACAGAAGAUGGGUGAUUUCUGCAUUUUCAACUGAGAACUCCACUAGGGUGGAAGGAGAGGAAGAGACUAAGGAUUCACAUCUCACAAAGACAUUUAUGGAAGACCGAGUGUGUUUCCAGUAUCUUUCAGAGUUUGCAAAUGAGGCGGUGCCCAGCAUAGACAGGUUCUUUGCCCACCCAUCCUAAAUCCACAAGGCCAUAGAUGCAGAAAGGAUAUUUAAUAAAGUUCAACACUGAGUCCUGACAAACACUGUGCAAGAAAGCUCAAACAGAAAGGAAGUUUCUUAUUCUGAUUGAGAAUACAUCAUACUUCUGGUAUGCUACUGAAAGCUUCUGAGGUUGGGAAUAAGACAAGGGCUCUGGCUGUCACCAUUUCUCUUGAACCUUACAGUGGAAUUUGGCACUACGGGAAUUGCAAGUCAACACAGUGGCCACUCAAGGAGAAGCAAGGGGUGGCUGGAAGGAGAGGUGCCCCUGGAGUUCUGUAAAAUCUCUUUCUUGAUGUGCCUUUGAGUGUUCUCUUUGUGAAAAUUCUUUGAACUGCACUCUUAUGAUUUGUGCAUAUUUCCCUAUGAACAUUAUACCUCAAUAAAAUAUUGACUUAAAUAAC